CGAUUAAAAUGAAGAGCAAGUACUAUGGAACAGGUGAAGGACACGAACAACACAAGAAACAAGAAACUCAAAUGAAACAGAAGUGAAAAAUAUUGGCAAACGGUGAACACAAACUGCACAACACGGAAGUAAGAAAAAAUGAAAGUAAGAGCAACUUAUCUCUUGAAGCAAGGUGUGGACGACCUUGCUCUUGAUGUCAAAUGAUGGAAGCGGCUCCAAUCUUCAAGACUAAGCAGCUCCUCAAACCAGAAGGUGGCAGUGGAAUGAAGAGAUGAUUGGUGGAGGCAUUGCACGGAAGGUGUUCGGUGAAUUGCUUGGAGAAGGAUUAGAAGUAUGCGUGAAGUUUCUCUAGCUCAGGAGGUCUUCCAAGAGGGAUGGAAGCUAGAGGAGGAUUGUGCUAAAGUGGCACAGGCUUUGAACUCAAAAGUAAUAAGUGGCUAGACAAUUCAACAGCGUUUCUCUUUAUCAUUCAAGUUGCCUUUACAAAAAAUAGAGUCUUUCUUUUAUAAGGGAAGAGAUGACUCUGAAGUGUGCCUAGCAAGCUACUAAAAUGACAAGAGAAGUGUGUUGGAGAAGCUACAAGGCCUGGGCUGCAUGUUCCAUGCGUAACACAAUUUUUAACGUGUUUUAAAUGUGUUUUGCUGGUGUAGAAACGUUGGGUGUGGAGUGUAGACGGCUGGGCAGGUGGUAGAAUCCGGAAGACAAUUUUGCACUGUAGUCCAAUCCAUUGUCCAAUCCAGAAAGCACUUCCUUUCUUCCUUUCUUUGCCUCCUUUGCUUCCCUUAGGUCACCAAGCUUCUUUGGCUUAUUGGCUAUGGUUUCCAAGCUUUAUUAUUGUCCUACAAAAUAAUUUAAAUGUAUUUAGUAAAGAGAAUCUAUCUAAGACUUAGAUAAGGUAAGAGCUUUAGAAUUCUUUAUUCCAUUUUCGUUUCUUUAAUCUUAGUUUAAGUUGUUACUUCUUCAGAUGGAAAGUCCCUAAAGGAGUUGUCAUCACUCUUACUAAGAUAGAAGGGAUAAAAACCCUAAUUUCUUUACAU
rnacentral:lncRNA from 1 species